rnacentral:lncRNA from 1 species
UUGGUCUUGUAACCCAUCAUUUAAUUCCUAUUUAUUACUAAUAAGCCAUAUUCACAAAGCAGAUGAUGAUCCAUGCUUCAUGCUAAUCGAUGAAGGAAAGCAGAGGACCAAAGAGUAUAUCAUCUAGUUGGAUCCAACUUUAUCUAAUAACAAAUGUUUUUAUAAUCAAAUGUUUAGUGAGAGGCCUUUUCUUCAUUGAGAUUCUACGGCAGUUGAAGGUCUCUAUCCAUCCAUGACCCGCAUACAUCAAUUUAAAUAACAGAAUUUCCAAUACCAGCACAUUCUUUUCCAAUACAUCUUUAGUUUACAGCAGAACGAGCCAGUUGGUCAAAGAACUCGUUCACCGUGUACAUUCCCGAACUGCUCUAAUGGCUGGAUUAGGAAUUUCAGUACAUCUUUCUGCUUGGCAGGAACGGAAUGUCCUCUUUGAUUUGGCAAGAAAAUCCUGAUUAGUAUCUCUUGAAACAUGUUCACAUAUUUUUGCUAGAGAUCACGAGUGUCAUUGCAGUUCUCUUACACAAGUAUAAUGUUUCUCUGCUUUCUUACAUUAUGGCAACAAUGCCGACUUUUCCAGCUCUAAAUUGCCCAUCCAGAGCCUGAAAAGGUUGCAUAGAAUUGUAGUUGAGAACAGGCGUGAGAAAAAACCGGCAACAAAAAGACUCCAAUUAGCAGGUCCCUUUUCAACCAUCAUCAAUUUAAAACAAUCGAGUGACUUAACUAAAGGUGCUGGUUGACAAUAAAAGGAAAAAUUUGAGGGCCUUCCAAUUUCCCUGCUGCUAAUUUCCAUAAUUGAAAUGAUUGUUAGCUGAAUCUAUCCCCGACACCAAUUAGCUUGCACCGCUGACAUGCCAGUUCAGCUCAGAAAGCAAUAUAUACAUUUGAUAUUAAAAGUAACUUGAGGAUUCAUUCCGAAGGAUGGAGUUGAGUUUAACAUAUAUUAAAAAUAUGCGAUGGA